AAUAGGGGCGCGCUCUCUUUUCUCCAAUUCCAAGACAUGCAGCUUGGUCCUUGUUGCAGGCUGCUUGCCUAAUGGGCUUUCUUUGGGGUACUUGCAGGAGCACCGCCAAUUGCGUAGCCUCCUGGCGUCUCGUCCCUCCGCCCAUUUUGUAGGAAGCCGUGUGACAUCAUGACAACCGUUGAAAAUUGAGGAAAAUCAUGGAUUGGCGUCACUGUCAGUAUUCCAAUGUCACAUAAUAUUCCAACCUUGCCUUUUUCUUCUUGAUGUUGAUGAGAGCUUUACAUCUAGAAGUAUAACAUGCCUCUCUCAGUCUUGUGCGUGCAAUGUCCUGCAAUACUUUCACCCCAAGUGUAUGGAGAUCAUUAGCAAUUACUCAAGCUGACAAUUUGGUGUUUAUUUUUGCCGGUCAUCAGUUUCUAGUAUCUUCUAUCGAUGGCCUGAUCGCUGGUGAUUCCUAUGUCCUCCAGUAGUUAGUUUAUUUCUAACAUUCUGUACUGUUGACUUUGAAAUACUCAAGCAUUCUGCAGUAGCUCUAAUUGAUUCUCUUUUCUUUCAUGCUCACAAUAGCAUUCUUGGUCAUCGUACUCAGUUCUCUGGCUUUCAUCUGCUGGUUUCUUGUUUUGCUUAUAAAGUACACUCUACAAACGCAUCAAAAGGAUAUAACCCGUACCCUGAGACUCACUGCUUCCCAAUUAUAAAUAAUUACAGCUAAUGUUCAUUUGUCUCAGUACUUAGGCUGACUUGGAAUAGGGGGACUUGACUCAUUGGCAUGGUUGUAAAAUGGUUCAUUGUCUGUUUAAAAAAAUAAAUAAAUAAAAACGCACGAAAUAAAUGCAGAUUGAAUUUGCCUUGGUUAUUGUUUGAUUUGAAAAUACAAAUCUGAUUAGUGCAGUGGAAAACCAGCCAAUUUGAUACAGCUGUUCAAUACUUUAUCAUUUAACUGUAUAUGGGCUGCAUUGUAGUAUGUGUAGGGCAUGUGACCUAGAACUGGGUUUGUAACCUAAAAAGUUGUAGGUCCAAUUUCCUGGUAGUUUUUGGCUGUUGUACCCUUGAGCAUGGUCCUUCACCUGCUGCAGUGUAUUUCUAGCUGAAUAAAUGGAUACUAUGUAAAAAUGCAAAAGGUAUUGUGAGUAACUUUGUAAAAAGGCAAAAAGUAUUUAAAGUUGCUCCAGUCAACAUGUGCUAAAUGACAUGUAAUGUAAUGUGUUUAUGUUCCACUAUACAGAAGGAAUUGUUUUCAUACAGGCAACAAUAAUGACAAGGUGUUCCUUAUCAGUGUCUUCCAGAGGUCCUCCAUGGGGUUCACCCUCUGGACAGCACCAACAGGGAGGAGAAGACACAGAUUCUGGAUUAGCUUCUGGUUGCAGUUGGAAUAUUGACCCAGAAUAUCUGAGCCAUUUGUUGCGAAAGGAGAGUGUGCCCCCCUGUGCACGACUCAAACGGUCACUGCUGUUUGCCCCUGUCCCCACCCACCUCCUCAGUCUGCUGCGUUCCAUUUCCUCAGUCGAUGUGCCAAAAGAUGGAAAUGGAACUUAAACAGAUGAGCCUGACACCUAAGAUUGGGGUGGCUAGAGGGAGGUUGAUGCCACCUCACUCUGCUCAAACAGGUGAGAAAAGAUGGUGGGAAAGUGACCUUUUCUCCUCAGACUGAGGGAAGGCAAGUCUCCAAAGCCAGGUGGAAGUGUAACUGAGGCGAAUUGAAUAUGCAAGGCUCAGUAAAUCUACCGUAAUCCCAGCUGCUGUGCAUAUAUGAGCAGGAUAAUCCUGCGAGUGAGUUUUACCCUUUGCUGACGUUUUAUCUUUUAUUUUUCCAUUCACUGAAUGCAGAAAUGGCACUCCUUACAUGGGCAUCAAUAGUGGUACUGCAGUGGCAAUUGAUGCCGAUAAAUAGGUUUGUGAUGCUGAUGCUGAAAACGACUGCAUAUACCUCUUCCUCCAUAUGCCAGUCUUCCUCCUUUCUGGUUCUUUGGAUGGGAGCUGUCACUGGGGCCAUACCCACAUGCACGUUAUGAGAUAAAUGCACACAGUCUGCUGUCAUAUCUAUCUGUUCUUUGAUCAGCAGCAUUUCAGGACCUACUCAAAAACUUACUACGCACAAUCCAUUUUUAUAAAAAAAUGCCUUCCAUGAGUCUAUAAUGCAUUGCCCUUGCAAAUCCACAAGACUGUAUAAUUCAUUGAAAAUCUCUCAGGUCUCGUGCAUUUGGCUUUGGCUUACUCCAAAAAUAUAGUUUGGGUCCACACUCAAAAUAGUGUCAUAGGUUGUGCAACAGCUACUUCCUGCAGCAAUAUGUCUGACAGAAUGAGCAUCACAUCUGACUCCCAGUAGUGAAUACUUAAUACUAUAUAAAUUAAGGCCAUGCUACCUGCAUGGAGUAUAUGGCAUGAAUUGAAUUACCAUGUAUGCAUAUUUUAGAGUUGUGAAUUUCUUUUGGCAAUGACAACUUUGACUCCACUCAGCAUUAAGUAAAAUCAGUGUUGUGAACACAAGCAUGCCAGACACAAGUUGAAACGUCACUGCGGUGCUCCAGAGGCAUGGGGAUCACAGGAUGGGUGCUUCAGCUUGCUUUAAACAGUGUAGAAAG